CGCGGGGUGGAGCAGCUAGGUAGCUCGUCGGGCUCAUAACCCGAAGGUCGCGAGGUUCGAAUCCCGCCCCCGCAACCA
rnacentral:tRNA from 1 species